rnacentral:rRNA from 1 species
CCAAUAGCGUAUAUUAAAGUUGUUGCAGUUAAAAAGCUCGUAGUUGAAUUUCGGGACCAAUAUGUCGGUCGUGCUUCGGUACGUACUUGCAUUAUUGGUUUCUCCCUUCUGAAGAACCAUGAUGUCAUUAAUUUGGUGUCUUGGGGAAUCAGGACUGUUACUUUGAAAAAAUUAGAGUGUUUAAAGCAGGCUCACGCUUGAAUACAUUAGCAUGGAAUAAUGAAAUAGGACGUUUGAUUCUAUUUUGUUGGUUUCUAGGAUCGACGUAAUGAUUAAUAUGUAUAGUUUGGGGCAUUAGUAUUCAAUUGUCAGAGGUGAAAUUCUUGGAUUUAUUGAAGACUAACUACUGCGAAAGCAUUUGCCAAGGAUGUUUUCAUUAAUCAAGAACGAAAGUUAGGGGAUCGAAGACGAUCAGAUACCGUCGUAGUCUUAACCAUAAACUAUGCCGACUAGGGAUCGGAUGAUGUUAAUUUUUUAAUGACUCAUUCGGCGCCUUACG